AUGAACGCUAGCUACAGGCUUAACACAUGCAAGUCGAGGGGCAGCAUGAACUUAGCUUGCUAAGUUUGAUGGCGACCGGCGCACGGGUGAGUAACACGUAUCCAACCUGCCGAUGACUCGGGGAUAGCCUUUCGAAAGAAAGAUUAAUACCCGAUGGCAUAGUUCUUCCGCAUGGUAGAACUAUUAAAGAAUUUCGGUCAUCGAUGGGGAUGCGUUCCAUUAGGUUGUUGGCGGGGUAACGGCCCACCAAGCCUUCGAUGGAUAGGGGUUCUGAGAGGAAGGUCCCCCACAUUGGAACUGAGACACGGUCCAAACUCCUACGGGAGGCAGCAGUGAGGAAUAUUGGUCAAUGGACGAGAGUCUGAACCAGCCAAGUAGCGUGAAGGAUGACUGCCCUAUGGGUUGUAAACUUCUUUUAUACGGGAAUAAAGUGAGGCACGUGUGCCUUUUUGUAUGUACCGUAUGAAUAAGGAUCGGCUAACUCCGUGCCAGCAGCCGCGGUAAUACGGAGGAUCCGAGCGUUAUCCGGAUUUAUUGGGUUUAAAGGGAGCGUAGGCGGACGCUUAAGUCAGUUGUGAAAGUUUGCGGCUCAACCGUAAAAUUGCAGUUGAUACUGGGUGUCUUGAGUACAGUAGAGGCAGGCGGAAUUCGUGGUGUAGCGGUGAAAUGCUUAGAUAUCACGAAGAACUCCGAUUGCGAAGGCAGCCUGCUGGACUGUAACUGACGCUGAUGCUCGAAAGUGUGGGUAUCAAACAGGAUUAGAUACCCUGGUAGUCCACACAGUAAACGAUGAAUACUCGCUGUUUGCGAUAUACAGUAAGCGGCCAAGCGAAAGCGUUAAGUAUUCCACCUGGGGAGUACGCCGGCAACGGUGAAACUCAAAGGAAUUGACGGGGGCCCGCACAAGCGGAGGAACAUGUGGUUUAAUUCGAUGAUACGCGAGGAACCUUACCCGGGCUUGAAUUGCAACUGAAUGAUGUGGAGACAUGUCAGCCGCAAGGCAGUUGUGAAGGUGCUGCAUGGUUGUCGUCAGCUCGUGUCGUGAGAUGUUGGGUUAAGUCCCGCAACGAGCGCAACCCUUAUGGUCAGUUACUACGCAAGAGGACUCUGGCCAGACUGCCGUUGACAAAACGGAGGAAGGUGGGGAUGACGUCAAGUCAUCAUGGCCCUUACGACCAGGGCUACACACGUGCUACAAUGGCGCAUACAAAGAGAAGCGACCUCGCGAGAGCAAGCGGACCUCAUAAAGUGCGUCGUAGUCCGGAUUGGAGUCUGCAACUCGACUCCAUGAAGUCGGAAUCGCUAGUAAUCGUGGAUCAGAAUGCCACGGUGAAUACGUUCCCGGGCCUUGUACACACCGCCCGUCACACCAUGGGAGUUGGGAGUGCCCAAAGCCGGUGAGGCAACCGCAAGGAGCCAGCCGUCUAAGGCAAGACCAAUGACUGGGGUG
rnacentral:rRNA from 1 species